rnacentral:rRNA from 1 species
CCUACGGGAGGCAGCAGUGAGGAAUAUUGGUCAAUGGACGGAAGUCUGAACCAGCCAUGCCGCGUGCAGGAAGACGGCUCUAUGAGUUGUAAACUGCCUUUGUACAAGGGUAAACCUGAAUACGUGUAUUCAGCUGAAAGUACUGUACGAAUAAGGACCGGCUAACUCCGUGCCAGCAGCCGCGGUAAAUCGGAGGAUCCAAGCGUUAUCCGGAUUGAUUGGGUUUAAAGGGUGCGUAGGCGGAUUGAUAAGUUAGAGGUAAAAUGUCCGAGCUUAACUCGGGAACUGCCUCUACUACUGUUGAUCUAGAGAGUAGAUGCGGUAGGCGGAAUGUAUGGUGUAGCGGUGAAAUGCUUAGAGAUCAUACAGAACACCGAUUGCGAAGGCAGCUUACCAAUCUAUAUCUGACGUUGAGGCACGAAGCGUGGGGAGCAAACAGGAUUAGAUACCCGGGUAGUC